rnacentral:rRNA from 1 species
GUGCCAGCCGCCGCGGUAAUACGUACUGUGCGAACGUUAUUCGGAAUCACUGGGCUUAAAGGGUGCGUAGGCGGCCGUUUAAGUAGGGUGUGAAAUGCCAGAGCUCAACUUUGGCAUUGCGCUCUAGACUGAAUGGCUUGAGUGAGAUAGGGGUGUGCGGAACUUCCAGUGGAGCGGUGAAAUGUGUUGAUAUUGGAAGGAACGCCGGUGGCGAAAGCGGCACACUGGGUCUUAACUGACGCUGAGGCACGAAAGCCAGGGGAGCGAACGGGAUUAGAAACCCGCGUAGUCC